GUGGUUGAUUUUUCAUGUAUUACUCAGUAAAAGUCAAAUAGAUAUGCUCAAUAAAGACUGUAUUCUUAUAUUGAAUACUACUUUAUUAAGUUGUAUGUCAGUACAUUUGAUGGUGAAAUUACAAUGUAAACACAUUAAUGAAUUUAUAGUGUGCUGAUUGGUAUACAUAAAUGUGUCCCAAAAUGUGUAUUGCAACACUCAAAUUAAUACACUAAACUAUCUUCAUUUGGCUAGUGCUUUUACGCAAAGUGACUUACAACUUGGCAGAUGAGGUAAAUGACCUUGCUCAAGGGCACAACAACGUUAAUGGUGCAGGAAUUUGACCUCACAACUGUCAGAUUAGUAACCCAAUGCCUUAACCACUGAGCUACGACUGUUCUACAUACAAUGGGCAAAAUGUUAAGCAACUUGAGAACAGAGAUGGGUGGGAGAGAAAACAGAAAAAAGAAAGAAGCAGUAUACAGAAGUCCAUCCUGCAGCCACUCAUCUCCCUGCUUCAACAAUGACCAAUAAAUGAGCUACAAAACUGUGCAGGACUCCUCCUACCAAGAAAUAUGUCUAAGCUUGGCUAGAAGUGUCUCGUUUCAUCCCCUCAUCCCUUUUUGAAAAUAAAUGAACUGUAUAGUAAUUGAUUGGGAUUGUUUGUACCGUUCACAACAAAGAUAAUAUAUUUGUUGUAUAUAUGUUUUAAAGUGAGUGCAUGUAUGCGUGUUCACCAUGAAUGUCUUUAUCUCUGAAACAAAGAAUAACCAUGAACCAUACUGAACAAGCCAAAAUCCCAGUAGUUACACUGACGUUACUGAAAUUCCAGUAGCUGCCGUGAUGUGAAUUGUAAUGUCUAGUGUCUUGUUAUCCUCAGCAUGCCAUAUCCAAAAACCUGCUACUAUAC
ensembl:lncRNA